CCUUCCAAAGAGCAGAGGAACACACACCCAUUUCAGUACUUUCACUCUUCCCCCGGAUCUUCUAAAGCUGCUUUAGACAGAUGGAUUUUAAUCAGAAACACAGUGAUACUGUAAUUUCUACACUUCAAGUUCAAGUGGAUGAUGUGAAAAAUGUCAUGACUCAAAAUAUUGAAAAGGUUCUGGAAAGAGAGGAACGUCUGAGCGAACUGGCUGAUCGAAGUGAUGAUCUCGAAACAGCGGCUCAUGGUUUCCAAAAAACUACUACAAAGAUUUCAAGGAAGAUGUGGUGGAAAAACACUAAAAUGAUCAUAAUUAUUGUUAGCAUUCUCCUUAUCAUUGUUGUUUUCAUCAUUCUUCUAGCCACAGGCGUUAUCCCAACAUAAGGAGCUUUUAAGCAGUACAAAGCACUGGCAUUCUGAAAAAAAUAGUUCCAGAUUAAAAUGCAAAUAUUUAUGUUCACUAUUUUUAUAUAAAUAAAUGCAACUAACAGCCACAAAUUGCUUUCAUCUACUGCUUGCCUUCAGGUGGCAACAAGGCCGGGAUGGGGAAUCUGUGACCCUCCAGGUGUUGCUGGACUACAACCCUCAUCAUCCCCAACCUAUCAUUGCCUAUGCUGGCUAGGGUGGAUGGGAGUUAAUGAUCCAGCAAGAUCUGGAAGGUCACGUUUCCCACCCCUGCCAUGAAGGAAUGAGCUGUUUUCCCCCACCCCAUUUUUAUGUUUCAUAUUAUAGAAAGUAACAGGGCGAUUUACUUAAUUAGAACCCUCAGACAAAACUCUUGAGCAGAAUUCCCAAUCUGCCAUUCAUGUGUCCAACCUCAAGAGCAUUCCUAUUGAAAGGAACUUGUUUUCCCCCAAAUAUGACUAGAAAUGGGUGCUGGAGUAUCAAGUUCUAACCCAACUUGUUGCAUCUACUUCCUAUUUUGCAUCUGUAUAUGACCACAUUCUACAAAUAUUGACAUUUCUUUUAAGAUUUGUUUUCAAACCAAUACCAAGUAGAAAAGUUCUUUAAUAAAGGGGGAAGUCAUGCUGCAAAACAGCAGUACGCUUCUAGCAGUAUGCUUCUUAAAUCAGCAUGUACUGCCCAAUCCUUUUGGCUUAUUGAUUCACUCACUACAGUUCAGUUUCCUCCUUCCGGGAGGAAGGGUGGGAUAUAAAUUAAAUAAAUAAAUACAUUUCUUGUUAAUUGGCACUAGCCUCGCAAAUAAACCCAUCAAGCCCCAGCACAGGUGUGUCAACUCACUUCUUUAGUCUCUCUAGCUGAAAACCGGCAAAUGUGGCCAGUCCAUCUAGAAUUACACCCAGACACAUAUACUCGCGUGUAUGUAGCGCCAACCUUUUAAGAAAUUGAGGAAGGAGCAGUGAGAAAAAGACUGAGGCUUGCUGCCAGCCACUGACAACAGAAUGUACCUGGCCCCUGAAGAAGCAUCUCUUUAGAGCCAUGAGAACAACUGUCGAGAUGAAUGGAUUGUGUAUAUAAACCACAGCAGCAGAGCGAUUUCAUUAUUUCACAGCAGACUGUCAGGACCCUUGACAGGACCCUUAACUACCAGUCAUAUAAGUACAAAAUUAAUGAAGUGCUAAACAUUCAUAAGUGUUGUCUUACUCCAUUCAGCUGCUCAACUGAUUAUAGAAAAAAUUCUGUCCAACAGUGAUAUUGAAGUAACAAUCAUACCACAAACUUAAAAUCAAAGAAUGUAGAUACCUAUAUACCAUCUGCCAAUAUUUGUAUUACAUGGCUGUUUUCAGAACUCACACUUUGUUGGGCAACUCACACUGUUAUAAAAGCUGGCAGAAUGUAUCAUCUCCAA